rnacentral:lncRNA from 1 species
AAGAAUGAAAACAUAACGUUAAAAGUUACGACCGAAGCGCUUUUCUGGAUCGACCUUCUUAGGGAACGCUCAAAGCUGAAUAUUAAGGGCCAACAACUUACAAAGAACAGAUUAAAUGAUAUAUUCUUUAGCCAACAUGAUGGCAGAAAGUAAGAAGUCGUAGAGCAAAACAGAAAAAAUUGAAAUCAAAAGAGAUAAUACACCGUGUAUUGAGCCUUUCUAUUGCUUAGAGUUCAGUAGAAAAUAUAUAUAUACAUGCUCAACCUAAACAUACUAUUUGACCUACUGCGAGUUGUUCAGUUUUUACUGUUACUCCUGUUUCUCUUAA